AGGCUGCAUGGCAGGCAAUAUAAUUUGUCCUAGUUUAAUGUGGGGUAUUACAUUUUUUAUAGAACUCUGGCUGUGGCCUUCUGGAUAGCACCAACAUUUCAUAAGAAAAAAGGCACUGAAGCAAACAAGCUCUCCUGGCUAUUGCUCUUCAUCAUUUCCUAUGGGCAUGGAGUUUUGCUAGUAGAACAGAGUGUAUGAAAAGUCAAGCCAUGAAAACCACCUCAAUGCAAGAUAGCGCUUACCAGACACUCUGUGCACUUUCUGCUCAGAAGAAUCCCAUGAAAAAAAG
rnacentral:lncRNA from 1 species